GACUAACGCUGGCAGUGUGCCUUACACAUGCAAGUCGGACGGAGGACUUCGGUCCUUAGUGGCAAACGGGUGAGUAAUGGAUAGGUUAUCUACCGGAAAGAGGGGGAUACCCCUUCGAAAGAAGGAUCAAUACCCCGUACGCUCCUCACGGAGGAAAGGUGAAGCAAUUCACCGCUUUCUGAUGAGCCUAUCUCCUAUCAGCUAGUUGGUGAGGUAAUGGCUCACCAAGGCGAUGACGGGUAGCUGGUCUGAGAGGAUGAUCAGCCACACUGGAACUGAGACACGGUCCAGACUCCUACGGGAGGCAGCAGUGGGGAAUUUUGGGCAAUGAGCGAAAGCUUGACCCAGCGACACUGCGUGGGCGAAGAAGAUCUUGGAUUGUAAAGCCCUUUUAUGGGGAGUAAGCGAAGGCGUAGGCAAUGACGGCUUCGUUGCAAGUACCCCACGAAUAAGCCCCAGCCAACUACGUGCCAGCAGCCGCGGUAAUACGUAGCGUA
rnacentral:rRNA from 1 species